rnacentral:lncRNA from 10 species
GUUCCCAGAGCCACAGACAAAAGGUCCUCGGAGGAAUCUUUCUCUAAACUGCUUCUCCUUUCCAACUUCCCAAAUUUGACCUCCUCCAGGGACCAUCCUUUUCUGACCACAGGAAAAGCCCUUCCUUAAAUCCUUUAAAGCCUAGGCUUAGGGGAUUGGGCUCCUGCUUUAAGAGGAGCAUGGCAGAGCGAUCAAGCACAGGGACCCAGCCUGCGUCUGAAGUCACUGUCAGCUCUGUCACUCACUAUUUCCAUGGCUUCGGCACUUUACUAACUUCUCUGUGCCUCUACUUCCUCUUCUGAAAAUGGGGACGCCGAGGUCCAUGGCGUUCACCUCGGAGAAUUAAAUAAAUGAAGAUGUGGAACAUCCUUAGAACAGUGCCUGGCACAUGGAGCCUGAACAGAACUGCUGUGCAGGAAGAGAAGUGAAGACGGAGACCACCCAGCGAGCACAAUGCUCAAAGGCCCAAUGGAUCCACUCCUGACCCUGGA